rnacentral:piRNA from 1 species
UAUCCUUCCAAAUUACAAUUUGGAAUCAAA